UACAGGGGGUGCAAACGUUGCUCGGAAUCAUUGGGCGUAAAGCGCACGUAGGCGGUUCGUUAUGUCGGAUGUGAAAGCCCUUGGCUUAACCGAGGAAGUGCAUCCGAAACUGGCGAGCUAGAGUACGAAAGAGGAUCGCGGAAUUCCCGGUGUAGAGGUGAAAUUCGUAGAUAUCGGGAGGAACACCGGUGGCGAAGGCGGCCAACUGGUCCGAUACUGACGCUGAGGCGCGAAAGCGUGGGGAGCAAA
rnacentral:rRNA from 1 species